rnacentral:misc_RNA from 1 species
AAGGAGUCUAACAUAUCUGCGAGUAUUUGGGUGUCACACCCGAGUGGGCAAAGAAAGUGAACCUAGGAGCUACGCGCUAGCUGCAGUUUCGACCGACCUGGAUCUUUGGUGAUGGAUUUGAGUAAGAGCAUAUAUGUUGGGACCCGAAAGAUGGUGAACUAUGCCUGAAUAGGGUGAAGCCAGAGGAAACUCAGGUGGAGGCUCGUAGCGAUUCUGACGUGCAAAUCGAUCGUCAAAGUUGGGUAUAGGGGCGAAAGACUAAUCGAACCAUCUAGUAGCUGGUUCCUGC